rnacentral:rRNA from 1 species
UGGGGAAUUUUGGACAAUGGGGGAAACCCUGAUCCAGCCAUCCCGCGUGUGCGAUGAAGGCCUUCGGGUUGUAAAGCACUUUUGGCAGGAAAGAAACGUCAUGGGUUAAUACCCCGUGAAACUGACGGUACCUGCAGAAUAAGCACCGGCUAACUACGUGCCAGCAGCCGCGGUAAUACGUAGGGUGCAAGCGUUAAUCGGAAUUACUGGGCGUAAAGCGUGCGCAGGCGGUUCGGAAAGAAAGAUGUGAAAUCCCAGAGCUCAACGUUGGAACUGCAUUUUUAACUACCGGGCUAGAGUGUGUCAGAGGGAGGUGGAAUUCCGCGUGUAGCAGUGAAAUGCGUAGAUAUGCGGAGGAACACCGAUGGCGAAGGCAGCCUCCUGGGAUAACACUGACGCUCAUGCAAGAAAGCGUGGGGAGCAAACAGG